GGCGUAAGCGCGCGCAGGCGGUCNUUUAAGUCUGAUGUGAAAGCCCACGGCUCAACCGUGGAGGGUCAUUGGAAACUGGGGGACUUGAGUGCAGAAGAGGAAAGUGGAAUUCCAAGUGUAGCGGUGAAAUGCGUAGAGAUUUGGAGGAACACCAGUGGCGAAGGCGACUUUCUGGUCUGUAACUGACGCUGAGGCGCGAAAGCGUGGGGAGCAAACAGGAUUAGAUACCCUGGUAGUCCACGCCGUAAACGAUGAGUGCUAAGUGUUAGGGGGUUUCCGCCCCUUAGUGCUGCAGCUAACGCAUUAAGCACUCCGCCUGGGGAGUACGGUCGCAAGACUGAAACUCAAAGGAAUUGACGGGGGCCCGCACAAGCGGUGGAGCAUGUGGUUUAAUUUGAAGCAACGCGAAGAACCUUACCAGGUCUUGACAUCCCGUUGACCACUGUAGAGAUAUAGUUUCCCCUUCGGGGGCAACGGUGACAGGUGGUGCAUGGUUGUCGUCAGCUCGUGUCGUGAGAUGUUGGGUUAAGUCCCGCAACGAGCGCAACCCUUGAUCUUAGUUGCCAUCAUUUAGUUGGGCACUCUAAGGUGACUGCCGGUGACAAACCGGAGGAAGGUGGGGAUGACGUCAAAUCAUCAUGCCCCUUAUGACCUGGGCUACACACGUGCUACAAUGGACGAUACAAACGGUUGCCAACUCGCGAGAGGGAGCUAAUCCGAUAAAGUCGUUCUCAGUUCGGAUUGUAGGCUGCAACUCGCCUACAUGAAGCCGGAAUCGCUAGUAAUCGCGGAUCAGCAUGCC
rnacentral:rRNA from 1 species